rnacentral:rRNA from 1 species
AUUGAACGCUAGCGGCAUGCCUAACACAUGCAAGUCGAACGGCAGCACGAGGAGCUUGCUCCUUGGUGGCGAGUGGCGGACGGUUGAGUAACGCGUAGGAAUCUGCCUCGUAGUGGGGGACAACCCGGGGAAACUCGGGCUAAUACCGCAUAAUCUCUUCGGAGCAAAGUUGGGGACCUUCGGGCCUAACACUAUGAGAUGAGCCUGCGUUGGAUUAGCUAGCUGGUGGGGUAAAGGCCUACCAAGGCGACGAUCCAUAGCUGGUCUGAGAGGACGACCAGCCACACUGGGACUGAGACACGGCCCAGACUCCUACGGGAGGCAGCAGUGGGGAAUAUUGGACAAUGGGCGAAAGCCUGAUCCAGCAAUGCCGCGUGUGUGAAGAAGGCCUUCGGGUUGUAAAGCACUUUUAGUGGGGAAGAAAAAGACAAGGAUAAUACCCUUGGAAAUUGACGUUACCCACAGAAAAAGUACUGGCUAACUCUGUGCCAGCAGCCGCCGUAA